AACACAUUUCCUUAGAUCCGCCUUUGGGAUGUAUCUGUUUUGCUGUGCUGGCAGACCUCAUGUGUCAUGGGUUCUCCAAAAUAGUUACCAGAUAAUCUGCAACUUCUGUGAUUGUACAGUCAAAGGUGCUUGAGUCAUUGAUGUGUGAGAAUAAUAAUAUAGCCACAUUUGUUCCAAUAUGAACAGUCUGUAUUAUGAACGCUGUUUUCUGCCAUUGGGACUCGGCUGGUUUGCGGACAUC